CCCUGCUGCCAUCACCGGUAGUACCUUGCAAAUCUAUUCAAUCAAGAUAAAGAGUAUAAAAGGCUUGAACUGGCCACUCAGAGUGUAUGGCGAGGUUGCUGCUCGAGACACUGUGGACCGCAACCGCAACAUUCUAUUCUCUCGGUCAAGGUUUGACUAUCAAGAACUCAAUGGAGAAGAUGAUUGCUUAUGCUUGACUGGUCCGUCUCGUGCUAUUGUUGCCUCGGACCAUGUUGAGUUUGAAGUUGACCUCCAAGUAGCCAAUGGAGCAGAGUCUCAAACCCUGAUGAGCUGUAGAGGUUGUUAUGGCGGUACAGAUGGUUUUUUCUCUUGCUUGGCCAGCGUAACUGAUGGUGAUGAUGGAUGUACCUUGUCGUUCUCCAACAAGAGCUGUAGAGUUGAGGUAACCCUUGACCAAAUUGAUAAAUCACUCCAGGCUACUAUCGUGGGCGUACAUGUUACCAAAGGGCGUUGGCCUUUUAAGCAUGGAUGCCGAGUUGUGUGUUCUUGGUCUCCUGCUGCGCCGACAGAUGUCAUUGGUAAGACUUGCAGGCGAGUUGUGCUUCUUGAUCACCGUGGUAAAGGAAUGCACAGAAGACUAGCCAAGUACCUUCAUCUCUCAAGGAGAGUCGUUUCAGUGGAAUCACAUGGAAUGCUGAGAGUGUCCAUAGAAGCAUAUGGAAAAUCUCGUCGUUAUAUUGCUCGAGAAGGUCACAUCAACUUCCCUGUUCAGCAGUGCCAAACAAGAACGAUUGAGUGUCAAGUUGGCGACUCCAAGGUGGAGGUUGCUGUAGGGUGGUCGUUGCUUGUGAAGGAAAAAGCGUGCCUCUCGCUCGAUUGAUUGCCUGACACCCAGGCAUGCAUAUACUGCUACUAGUACUAAGGUGGACCGACUUGUGUGGUAUCGCCAGAUCACAUAACUACUACCUCCGUCCCAAAAUUCUUGUCCGUAUCUGGCAAAUCUAAGACAAGAAUUUUGGGACCGAGGGAAUAUCUAUCUUGUGCUGGCCACAGUUUGUAUGAUGUGAAUCAUUCGGAUUUGUUCAAAAUCUGAGCACUUU